CUGCCAGACUUGGAAAGCUCUGUACAUCCACAGAACAGGUAGAAAACAGCUAGUGGCAAUGCUGACAUGCCCACACUGUGUCCUUUUCAUGGUCCUCCCCCUGAUCUGAAGUAGCCACCUCUAAGCAUAAGAGGAUGGUUUCCAGGCCACUUAGCAUCUGGUCUCUUGC
rnacentral:sRNA from 14 species